rnacentral:rRNA from 1 species
GAUUUAGAAAGGGGCAUAUUUUCGAUUGGGAUUCUAUGAGAACAAGGCUGGACAAAGAAGUAGGCGGCGGUGGUGCGGAGUAGAGAGGAGCUGGGGCAGGAAGCGGAGGUUCGCUACUACUGCCGUACUCUAGGUAUCGCUGUUGUCAACGUCGCCGGGCUACCUUCGCCGCCUGUUGGGAUCGGCGCCACCGCGCGGAGACGAAGAGCGUAGGUUGCUGGACCCGGUACCUAGACGCCGUCUACGGAAGGAGGAAGUAGAGCGUUCGGCGCGUCGACGGAACGGUAGGCCUCUAAACCUCGUCGUUAGCGACCUGCUCCUCUCCUGCUGGUGGCACUGGACACCCUCCCAGCUGGAGCUGGAGCGGCCGCUGCCGCUGCGGAGCGUGUACAAGUCCUCCUUGAGAGACGGAGAGAUCAAGCUACCUGCCGCUGCUGGCCCUGGGUGCGAGCUCGGGCUGCUGGCCCUGUUGAGCUACCGCUCCAGGAGGAGGGGCUGGUGGUACUAAGGGGCCUCUUGUACUUCCAAAUAAACCGGUUAGGGACAUCCGUCGUCGUUGGAAACGAUGUUGCACUAGUAGACAUUACUUCCAUUAGAGCGGACACCACUAACGUCGUCGUGAGACAUCGACGAUCUUCUCGGUUGCGAAGACGAACUUCGCCUCUCCACUGUAGUUAACAAUGUAUAAAACAAGUAGCGUGGAACAGCAUGAGUGGUUGUUCGGACUUGUCGGAGAAUUGUAACCAAAAGCACCUCUGUUUUGUUCUUCGGCUAAGUAACUCUAUAACCGAUAUGUUGUCGCCCAAAGGGGCGUUGCUGCUAGGUACCACUUAUGUCCUCUAUUCUAAUCCUUCACCCGAUGAACCACGAAGAGUAGUGUUAGUCGGUUCUGUACUACCAACGGUAGUCCUCCCGACUGUUGUUCUUGGAUUCAUUGUCGGAACUAUCAAACAUACAAGACAACUACAUUUUACGUAACAUGAGUAAGGAUUGGCACUACACUAUAUAAAAUAGUUAAGUAUAACAUUAAAUAGUAAAAAUCUCCUAAAAUAUUUGACGAUACAACAUGACACAUUACAAUUGG